rnacentral:rRNA from 1 species
GGGUGAGUAACACGUGGAUAAUCUGCCCUAAGGUCCGGAAUAACCCAGGGAAACUUGGGCUAAUACCAGAUAAUGCUGAGUAACGAGAGUUGCUCAGAAAAAGCAGGGGAACUCUUCGGAGUCCUUGCGCCAUAGGAUGAGUCCGCGGCCCAUCAGCUAGUUGGCGGGGUAAGAGCCCACCAAGGCGAAGACGGGUAGCUGGUCUGAGAGGAUGACCAGCCACACUGGAACUGAGACACGGUCCAGACUCCUACGGGAGGCAGCAGUGGGGAAUAUUGCGCAAUGGGCGAAAGCCUGACGCAGCAACGCCGCGUGAGUGAUGAAGGCCUUCGGGUCGUAAAGCUCUGUCGGCAGGAACGAGGGGUAAGUUGGUUAAUAACCAACCUACUUGACGGUACCUGCAAAGGAAGCACCGGCUAACUCUGUGCCAGCAGCCGCGGUAAGACAGAGGGUGCAAGCGUUGUUCGGAAUCAUUGGGCGUAAAGGGCGCGUAGGCGGUUUGGUAAGUCGAAUGUGAAAGCCCAGGGCUCAACCUUGGAAGUGCAUCCGAAACUGCCAGACUAGAGUCCCGGAGAGGGUGGUGGAAUUCCCAGUGUAGAGGUGAAAUUCGUAGAUAUUGGGAGGAACAUCGGUGGCGAAGGCGACCACCUGGACGGUGACUGACGCUGAGGCGCGAAAGCGUGGGUAGCAAACAGGAUUAGAUACCCUGGUAGUCCACGCCGUAAACGAUGGGUACUAGGUGUUGCGGGUGUUGACCCCUGCAGUGCCGGCGCU